CACUGCCGGGUCAGAGCAGGCAGUGCUCAGAGACGUCUCCACCAUGGCCUGGACUCUGUUCCUCCUCACUCUCCUCUCUCAGGGCACAGGUAA
rnacentral:pre_miRNA from 1 species